GGGUAUGUGGUCUAGUGGUAUGAUUUUCGCUUCGCAAAUUGUCCAACAGCUGCAAUGUGAACGGUCCCCGGUUCAAUCCCGGGCAUAUCCA